GCUUCGUGUUGGAGAGUCUUUAUUAAUAUCUCCCCCUUUUCAGGGUGUAACACUAGGACCCACUAUUUUGUUUGCAACCCGGAAGAACUGAGAGACUUCGUGGACCACACUUCCAAAGCCUUCAUAAGGCCUAACCCAUGAUGGAAGCUGAGCCCGGGCAUCAGAGGACUUGUGGGAGACCUGUGGGAGACCUGUGGGAGAAGAUGGAUGUGUUUGUACGGGCGGUUCUUGCAUGAGGGCCAAGGUUCUGUGCAGUGUCUCAGAAGUCUGACCUCUGGUCACACAGGAAGAUGGCUCCAUAGUCCUCCUUAUGGCGAGUGACUCUGCCGAUGGCCUGGUUCACAGCCCUGAAAGCCUGCUGUCUGUACCACUCCUGCCCAGACAGCCCAGGAGCUUUCUUCCUGCUCAUCUCAACCAAGAACUGCAUCUUCAGGAUGACUCCAGGGUCCAACUUUGGAAGGAAGGAAAGAUCGCUUUGUGAAGACCUGGACCUGGCUCAGUGAGGAUGACAUCACUUGGUGACCAUUCUUCAAGCACUACGGCAUAAGGGAGGCUGUCAUUGGUCAGAUAUCCAGUGAUGAAAGAUCUAUCGGCUCCAUUUAUUUAGGUGAAGGUGUAAAAAAGUUCUGUUGUUUGUUGUUUGUAUAUAGUUCAUUAGUGGUUGUAAAUUAAUUAACAGAAAAAUAAACAAAA